UACGUAGGGUGCGAGCGUUGUCCGGAAUUAUUGGGCGUAAAGAGUCUCGUAGGCGGUCUGUCGCGUCGAUCGUGAAAACUUGGGGCUUAACCCUGAGCUUGCGGUCGAUACGGGCAUGACUGGAGUUCGGCAGGGGAGACUGGAAUUCCUGGUGUAGCGGUGAAAUGCGCAGAUAUCAGGAGGAACACCGGUGGCGAAGGCGGGUCUCUGGGCAUUAACUGACGCUGAGGAGCGAGAGCAUGGGGAGCGAACAGG
rnacentral:rRNA from 1 species